ensembl:piRNA 21ur-2798 ncRNA
UGUUAGACAUAUUAGGUCACC